UUUUCUGGUGGUCUAGUCUCAGAGAUUACAUCUGUAGUCAGCACAAUGAUUCCCUUCCAAGCCCAGUGGUGCCCAGUUGCCUCCAGGUCCCAGACCUUUAUGUGGACAAGAAAAGCUUACAGAGGAAAUGGUAAUUCUCCACUUGCACACUGAGGUGUCCAGUUGCAGCCCAUGGAGAUCCAGUUCAAUUAUGAAUCUCAGGAACACCACCUUCUGUCAGAUGGUGAGAACAAGACCAAGAUUGGAAAGCCAGCUUCAGAGGAGGGAAUUACAGCAAAAAUUGAACCAUUGACAGAAGAGUCUAGCAGUCUCAGAAUGUUCUCCAGGAUUCUGAAGACUAGGACUCAAUGAAAUUGCUGCCCCCAUGUUCCUG
rnacentral:lncRNA from 1 species